rnacentral:rRNA from 1 species
UACGUAGGGUGCGAGCGUUAAUCGGAAUUACUGGGCGUAAAGCGUGCGCAGGCGGUCUGUUAAGACCGAUGUGAAAUCCCCGGGCUUAACCUGGGAACUGCAUUGGUGACUGGCAGGCUUUGAGUGUGGCAGAGGGGGGUAGAAUUCCACGUGUAGCAGUGAAAUGCGUAGAUAUGUGGAGGAAUACCGAUGGCGAAGGCAGCCCCCUGGGAUAACACUGACGCUCAUGCACGAAAGCGUGGGGAGCAAACAGG